rnacentral:rRNA from 1 species
AUGCAAGUCGAGCGGACAGAAGGGAGCUUGCUCCCGGAUGUUAGCGGCGGACGGGUGAGUAACACGUGGGUAACCUGCCUGUAAGACUGGGAUAACUCCGGGAAACCGGAGCUAAUACCGGAUAGUUCCUUGAACCGCAUGGUUCAAGGAUGAAAGACGGUUUCGGCUGUCACUUACAGAUGGACCCGCGGCGCAUUAGCUAGUUGGUGAGGUAACGGCUCACCAAGGCGACGAUGCGUAGCCGACCUGAGAGGGUGAUCGGCCACACUGGGACUGAGACACGGCCCAGACUCCUACGGGAGGCAGCAGUAGGGAAUCUUCCGCAAUGGACGAAAGUCUGACGGAGCAACGCCGCGUGAGUGAUGAAGGUUUUCGGAUCGUAAAGCUCUGUUGUUAGGGAAGAACAAGUGCAAGAGUAACUGCUUGCACCUUGACGGUACCUAACCAGAAAGCCACGGCUAACUACGUGCCAGCAGCCGCGGUAAUACGUAGGUGGCAAGCGUUGUCCGGAAUUAUUGGGCGUAAAGGGCUCGCAGGCGGUUUCUUAAGUCUGAUGUGAAAGCCCCCGGCUCAACCGGGGAGGGUCAUUGGAAACUGGGAAACUUGAGUGCAGAAGAGGAGAGUGGAAUUCCACGUGUAGCGGUGAAAUGCGUAGAGAUGUGGAGGAACACCAGUGGCGAAGGCGACUCUCUGGUCUGUAACUGACGCUGAGGAGCGAAAGCGUGGGGAGCGAACAGGAUUAGAUACCCUGGUAGUCCACGCCGUAAACGAUGAGUGCUAAGUGUUAGGGGGUUUCCGCCCCUUAGUGCUGCAGCUAACGCAUUAAGCACUCCGCCUGGGGAGUACGGUCGCAAGACUGAAACUCAAAGGAAUUGACGGGGGCCCGCACAAGCGGUGGAGCAUGUGGUCUAAUUCGAAGCAACGCGAAGAACCUUACCAGGUCUUGACAUCCUCUGACAACCCUAGAGAUAGGGCUUUCCCUUCGGGGACAGAGUGACAGGUGGUGCAUGGUUGUCGUCAGCUCGUGUCGUGAGAUGUUGGGUUAAGUCCCGCAACGAGCGCAACCCUUGAUCUUAGUUGCCAGCAUUCAGUUGGGCACUCUAAGGUGACUGCCGGUGACAAACCGGAGGAAGGUGGGGAUGACGUCAAAUCAUCAUGCCCCUUAUGACCUGGGCUACACACGUGCUACAAUGGACAGAACAAAGGGCUGCGAGACCGCAAGGUUUAGCCAAUCCCACAAAUCUGUUCUCAGUUCGGAUCGCAGUCUGCAACUCGACUGCGUGAAGCUGGAAUCGCUAGUAAUCGCGGAUCAGCAUGCCGCGGUGAAUACGUUCCCGGGCCUUGUACACACCGCCCGUCACACCACGAGAGUUUGCAACACCCGAAGUCGGUGAGGUAACCUUUAUGG